AGUGGCAGACGGGUGAGUAACAUGUAGGUAUUUGCCCUUUGGCCUGGAAUAACACGAGGAAACUUGUGCUAAUACCGGAUAAGUCUUUACGGAGAAAGCUUUAUGCACCAUUGGAUGAGCCUGCACUUGAUUAGUUUGUUGGUGGGGUAAUGGCCUACCAAGACUGUGAUCAAUAGCUGAUUUGAGAGGAUGAUCAGCCACAUUGGGACUGAGACACGGCCCAAACUCCUACGGGAGGCAGCAGUGGGGAAUCUUGCACAAUGGAGGAAACUCUGAUGCAGCGAUGCCGCGUGAGUGAAGAAGGCCUUUGGGUUGUAAAGCUCUUUCGUCGGGGAAGAAAAUGACUGUACCCGAAUAAGAAGGUCCGGCUAACUUCGUGCCAGCAGCCGCGGUAAUACGAAGGGACCUAGCGUAGUUCGGAAUUACUGGGCUUAAAGAGUUCGUAGGUGGUUGAAAAAGUUGGUGGUGAAAUCCCAGAGCUUAACUCUGGAACUGCCAUCAAAACUUUUCAGCUAGAGUUUGAUAGAGGAAAGCAGAAUUUCUAGUGUAGAGGUGAAAUUCGUAGAUAUUAGAAAGAAUACCGAUUGCGAAGGCAGCUUUCUGGAUCAUUACUGACACUGAGGAACGAAAGCAUGGGUAGCGAAGAGGAUUAGAUACCCUCGUAGUCCAUGCCGUAAACAAUGUGUGUUAGACGUUGGAAAUUUAUUUUCAGUGUCGCAGCGAAAGCGAUAAACACACCGCCUGGGGAGUAC
rnacentral:rRNA from 1 species